rnacentral:rRNA from 1 species
UAAUUGAAGAGUUUGAUCAUGGCUCAGAUUGAACGCUGGCGGCAGGCUUAACACAUGCAAGUCGAGCGGUAGCAC